CCUACGGGAGGCAGCAGUGGGGAAUUUUGCGCAAUGGGCUAACGCCUGACGCAGCAACGCCGCGUGGAGGAUGAAGGUCUUUGGAUUGUAAACUCCUGUCAGCAGGGAAAAAGCGACCUGACCUCAUACGUCAGGGAGUUGAUUGUACCUGCAGAGGAAGCCCCGGCUAACUCUGUGCCAGCAGCCGCGGUAAU
rnacentral:rRNA from 1 species